rnacentral:rRNA from 1 species
GAAAGCAUGGGUAGCGAAGAGGAUUAGAUACCCUCGUAGUCCAUGCCGUAAACGAUGUGUGUUAGACGUUGGAAAUUUAUUUUCAGUGUCGCAGGGAAACCGAUAAACACACCGCCUGGGGAGUACGACCGCAAGGUUAAAACUCAAAUGAAUUGACGGGGACCCGCACAAGUAGUGGAGCAUGUGGUUUAAUUCGAAGAUACGCGCAGAACCUUACCAACACUUGACAUGUUCGUCGCGACUCUAAGAGAUUAGAGUUUUCGGUUCGGCCGGACGAAACACAGGUGCUGCAUGGCUGUCGUCAGCUCGUGUCGUGAGAUGUUGGGUUAAGUCCCGCAACGAGCGCAACCCUCACUUUUAGUUGCCAUCAUUAAGUUGGGCACUCUGAAAGAACUGCCAGUGAUAAGCUGGAGGAAGGUGGGGAUGACGUCAAGUCCUCAUGGCCCUUACGUGUUGGGCUACACACGUGCUACAAUGGCAUCUACAACAGGAAGCAAAACGGCAACGUUAAGCAAAUCCCGAAAAGAUGCCUCAGUUCGGAUUGCACUCUGCAACUCGAGUGCAUGAAGCUGGAAUUACUAGUAAUCGUGGAUCAGCGUGCCACGGUGAAUGCGUUCCCGGGUCUUGUACACACCGCCCGUCACACCAUGGGAGUUGGUUCUACCUUAAGGCAAGGUUUUAAACCCUUGACCACGGUAUAGUCAGCGACUGGGGUGAAGUCGUAACAAGGUAGCCGUA